rnacentral:rRNA from 2 species
UACGUAGGGUGCGAGCGUUAAUCGGAAUUACUGGGCGUAAAGCGUGCGCAGGCGGUUUUGUAAGUCAGAUGUGAAAUCCCCGGGCUUAACCUGGGAACUGCGUUUGAAACUACAAGGCUAGAGUGUGGCAGAGGGGGGUGGAAUUCCACGUGUAGCAGUGAAAUGCGUAGAGAUGUGGAGGAACACCGAUGGCGAAGGCAGCCCCCUGGGUUAACACUGACGCUCAGGCACGAAAGCGUGGGGAGCAAACAGG